rnacentral:rRNA from 1 species
GUACCGUCAAUAUAGCUACCUAUUGGAUAACUAUAAUUUCUUCCCAGUUGACAGAGCUUUACGACCCAAAGGCCUUCUUCACUCACGCGGCGUUGCUGCGUCAGGGUUGCCCCCAUUGCGCAAAAAUUCCUCA